AUUGAACGCUGGCGGCAUGCUUUACACAUGCAAGUCGAACGGCAGCACGGGGGCAACCCUGGUGGCGAAUGGCGAACGGGUGAGUAAUGCAUCGGAACGUGCCCUGUCGUGGGGGAUAACACAUCGAAAGAUGUGCUAAUACCGCAUACGACCUGAGGGUGAAAGCGGGGGACCGUAAGGCCUCGCGCGAUAGGAGCGGCCGAUGUCUGAUUAGCAAGUUGGUGGGGUAAAGGCCUACCAAGGCGACGAUCAGUAGCUGGUCUGAGAGGACGACCAGCCACACUGGGACUGAGACACGGCCCAGACUCCUACGGGAGGCAGCAGUGGGGAAUUUUGGACAAUGGGGGCAACCCUGAUCCAGCCAUGCCGCGUGCGGGAAGAAGGCCUUCGGGUUGUAAACCGCUUUUGGCAGGAACGAAACGGUGCGGGCGAAUACCCUGUGCUAAUGACGGUACCUGCAGAAUAAGCACCGGCUAACUACGUGCCAGCCGCCGCGGUAAAAC
rnacentral:rRNA from 1 species